rnacentral:SRP_RNA from 1 species
ACCGGGCUCGGUAGCGUGGGCUUGUAACUCAAGCGAGGGUACACAAGGUGGUUGAACUGUGAUUUGGCUCUCUUGGGUGGGCUGGUUGCGCUUGAUUCGAUGUGUCCUUUCCAAGCCAGGAGUCGGCUUUGCUCCUCUAACCGAAGGUUUAGGGUGGGCUCGGACUUAGAAUGGAGGAGAAUGCGUGAGGCUGGUUUCACAGAGCAGCGAUUACCUCCUCCUCUUGGCAGUGGAAGGAUAACACAUUGGUGCGUGGACUGCCCAAUCAAACUCUAGAGCUCCAUACUCAUAUGGACAACCAUUUUU